UACAGAGGUCCCGAGCGUUGUUCGGAUUCAUUGGGCGUAAAGGGCGCGUAGGCGGCUCGGCACGUCCGUUGUGAAAUCGCCCGGCUCAACUGGGCGGGGUCGGCGGAUACGGCCGAGCUGGAGCAAGCUAGGGGGUAAUGGAAUUCCCGGUGUAGUGGUGGAAUGCGUAGAGAUCCGGAGGAAUACCAGUGGCGCAAGCGGCGCUCUGGGUCGAGCCUGACACUGAGACGCGAAGGCAUGGGGAGCGAACGGG
rnacentral:rRNA from 1 species